rnacentral:rRNA from 1 species
GACGAACGCUGGCGGCGUGCUUAACACAUGCAAGUCGAACGGAAAGGCCCUGCUUUUGUGGGGUGCUCGAGUGGCGAACGGGUGAGUAACACGUGAGUAACCUGCCCUUGACUUUGGGAUAACUUCAGGAAACUGGGGCUAAUACCGGAUAGGAGCUCCUGCUGCAUGGUGGGGGUUGGAAAGUUUCGGCGGUUGGGGAUGGACUGGCGGCUUAUCAGCUUGUUGGUGGGGUAGUGGCUUACCAAGGCUUUGACGGGUAGCCGGCCUGAGAGGGUGACCGGCCACAUUGGGACUGAGAUACGGCCCAGACUCCUACGGGAGGCAGCAGUGGGGAAUAUUGCACAAUGGGCGGAAGCGUGAUGCAGCAACGCCGCGUGCGGGAUGACGGCCUUCGGGUUGUAAACCGCUUUCGCCUGUGACGAAGCGUGAGUGACGGUAAUGGGUAAAGAAGCACCGGCUAACUACGUG